AUGGCUGUCGUCAGCUCGUGUCGUGAGAUGUUGGGUUAAGUCCCGCAACGAGCGCAACCCUUAUUCUAUGUUGCCAGCGGAUUAUGCCGGGGACUCGUAGAAGACUGCCGGGGUCAACUCGGAGGAAGGUGGGGACGACGUCAAGUCAUCAUGCCCCUUAUAUCCAGGGCUGCAAACAUGCUACAAUGGCCGGUACAAAGGGCUGCUAUACCGCGAGGUGGAGCGAAUCCCAUAAAGCCGGUCUCAGUUCGGAUUGGAGUCUGCAACUCGACUCCAUGAAGUCGGAGUCGCUAGUAAUCCCGGAUCAGCAACGCCGGGGUGAAUACGUUCCCGGGCCUUGUACACACCGCCCGUCACACCACGAAAGUCGGCAACACCCGAAGCCAGUGGCCUAACCCUUUUGGGAAGGAGCUGUCGAAGGUGGGGUUGGCGAUUGGGGUGAAGUCGUAACAAGGUAGCCGUACCGGAAGGUGCGGCUGGAUCACCUCCUUUCUGGAGCGACGAGUAGGGUCAUGGCUUGCCAUGGCCGGAAAGUCUCUCGGGAGUCGCCCGCGCUGUUCCACCCAAUUGCCUCACGUUGAUUUUUCUGCUCUUUGACAAUCGAGGGAUGGAUGGUGCCGGUCCGGGCCGCAAGGCUCGGGCCGGCUAUAUGUGAGGAAUCAUCACCGUAGUUUUUGUACCAACGAAUUGAGAUCAAACGCAAUAAGGCACACGGCGGAUGCCUUGGCAUCGAGAGGCGAUGAAGGACGUGGUAAGCUGCGAUAAGCCUGGGGGAGCUGCAUACGAGCUGUGAUCUCAGGAUGUCCGAAUGGGGAAACCCGG
rnacentral:sRNA from 1 species